GACGAACGCCGGCGGCGUGCCUAAUACAUGCAAGUAGAACGCUGAAGGAGGAGCUUGCUUCUCUGGAUGAGUUGCGAACGGGUGAGUAACGCGUAGGUAACCUGCCUGGUAGCGGGGGAUAACUAUUGGAAACGAUAGCUAAUACCGCAUAAGAGUAGAUGUUGCAUGACAUUUGCUUAAAAGGUGCAAUUGCAUCACUACCAGAUGGACCUGCGUUGUAUUAGCUAGUUGGUGGGGUACGGCUCACCAAGGCACGAUACAUAGCCGACCUGAGAGGGUGAUCGGCCACACUGGGACUGAGCACGGCCCAGACUCCUACGGGAGGCAGCAGUAGGGAAUCUUCGGCAAUGGACGGAAGUCUGACCGAGCAACGCCGCGUGAGUGAAGAAGGUUUUCGGAUCGUAUGCUCUGUUGUAAGAGAAGAACGAGUGUGAG
rnacentral:rRNA from 1 species